GUGUGAGGUGGUGCUAUGUAGCAGGAACCCCUCUUGCUUUGCAAAUAGUUUUUUGUUUGUUUUCCUUUUUGCCCAAUAGAGCCCUGCUCUACUGACCCUUCAAUGUGCCCGUGUGCCUAAAUAUUCCUGGUCGUGUGAAAAGAACCCAGGUAUUAGCUGAACUAAGGAGCACAAUUCUGCAACAUUUUGGCACCCAAACACGGGGCUUGAGAAAUGAAUGCAAUUGGAGAAACUGGUUGUUUUACCAGGCGUUGAUUGGAAAUGUGUGCUUCCCUUUAAGCAGUCAAGCUCAACUUGCAGAACUGAUGGGAACCCCUUGGGAAAACUGGCCUCAAAUGUUUGUCUACACAGUCCACAUACAGGGUUCUUAACCUGCGACUGACCCUGCUUGUGCCUGUGAACCAACCAACAAUCUCUGGCUGCAGCUCAGAAAGGACAAAAGAGAAUGGAUGAGGGAAACUUCCCAGGGCUUGUCUGGGUAUGCCCACAGUGGACUGGAGCCCAAAAUGCACACUGGAGGAAGUGGAUGGAGCCACGUGGAUGUCAUGCCUUAUGCAGGGGAGGAGCCUGCUCUCUUCAGCUCCUGUGGUAAUGUGGGAAUCGAUCUGUGAGAUUCCAUGAACUCCAAGUUAAGAACACAUGAUCUGGAUGUUUGACAAAAUACCUUCAGCAGGAAUAAUGAAAGCCCUGACAUUUCUGUGUGCAUAAAAACUGGAAAACUUUAAAAGUAAUAAAUCACCAAGUCUUUAUAAAAA
rnacentral:sRNA from 1 species